GACGAACGCUGGCGGCGUGCUUAACACAUGCAAGUCGAACGGAAAGGCCCUGCUUUUGUGGGGUGCUCGAGUGGCGAACGGGUGAGUAACACGUGAGUAACCUGCCCUUGACUUUGGGAUAACUUCAGGAAACUGGGGCUAAUACCGGAUAGGAGCUCCUGCUGCAUGGUGGGGGUUGGAAAGUUUCGGCGGUUGGGGAUGGACUCACGGCUUAUCAGCUUGAUGGUGGGGUAGUGGCUUACCAAGGCUUUGACGGGUAGCCGGCCUGAGAGGGUGACCGGCCACAUUGGGACUGAGGGACGGCCCAGACGCCUACGGGAGGCAGCAGUGGGGAAUAUUGCACAAUGGGCGGAAGCCUGAUGCAGCAACGCCGCGUGCGGGAUAACGGCCUUCGGGGUGUAAACCGCUUUCGCCUGUGACGAAGCGUGAGUGACGGUAAUGGGUAAAGAAGCACCGGCUAACUACGUG
rnacentral:rRNA from 1 species